UGGGGAAUAUUGGACAAUGGGCGAAAGCCUGAUCCAGCCAUGCCGCGUGUGUGACGAAGGUCUUCGGAUUGUAAAGCACUUUAAGUUGGGAGGAAGGGCAGUAAGCGAAUACCUUGCUGUUUUUACGUUACCGACAGAAUAAGCACCGGCUAACUCUGUGCCAGCAGCCGCGGUAAUACAGAGGGUGCAAGCGUUAAUCGGAAUUACUGGGCGUAAAGCGCGCGUAGGUGGUUCGUUAAGUUGAAUGUGAAAGCCCCGGGCUCAACCUGGGAACUGCAUCCAAAACUGGCGAGCUAGAGUAGGGCAGAGGGUGGUGGAAUUUCCUGUGUAGCGGUGAAAUGCGUAGAUAUAGGAAGGAACACCAGUGGCGAAGGCGACCACCUGGGCUCAUACUGACACUGAGGUGCGAAAGAGUGGGGAGCAAACAGG
rnacentral:rRNA from 1 species